rnacentral:piRNA from 1 species
UGAGAAAUACUGCAUCUCUCAGCUAAGC